CCUACGGGAGGCAGCAGUGGGGAAUCUUGCACAAUGGAGGAAACUCUGAUGCAGCGAUGCCGCGUGAGUGAAGAAGGCCUUUGGGUUGUAAAGCACUUUCAGCGAGGAGGAAAGGUCAGUAGCUAAUAUCUGCUGGCUGUGACGUUACUCGCAGAAGAAGCACCGGCUAACUCCGUGCCAGCAGCCGCGGUAAU
rnacentral:rRNA from 1 species